CCUGCUCAAUGAACUUUAAAUAGCCGCUAUUUGUGCUAAGGUAGCAUAAUAAAUUACUCUCCAAUUAAGAGAUAGCAUGAAAGGAAACACGAUUUAUCUAUUGCAUCAAACCAUUAAUCCUAAAUUUCACUUAUCAGUAAAAACCCAAUAAACAGCAUAGCAGGACGACAAGACCCUGCCGAACUUAUCCACAUAAUUUCACUGGGAAGGUAAAAAACAAAAACUUUACACCCCCCCCCCUCAAUUUACGCCCUACCCGAAUAAAAUUAAGUUACCACAGGGAUAACAGCAUAAUAAUUUUAAAAAGCCCUCAUACAAUAAAUUGAUUAUGACCUCGAUGUUGAAUUAACCCCCCUCUAUAUAAAAAAAAAAAAAAAAGGUAGUCUGUUCGACUCUUGAAAUGUUACAU
rnacentral:rRNA from 1 species